UUUUUGUGCAAAAGCGGCCGCUUUGGCGCAAGAUCGUGCCAAUGUAGAUGCAGCCCUAGAGUAUAUCUUCUAGAAAGAGAUGGCCACUCCUGAUUUAAAGACUUCAAGUGAUAAAAAAUCUGCCACAUCCCAAGGUAAAUUGUUCCAAUCAUUAAUUAACCUCCAUGUUUAAAAACUUAUAUUUUAAUCCUAGUUUCAGUUUGUCUAGCUUUAGCUUCCAACGGUUGGCUCUGUGAUAUCUGAAUGCUUCGCAAUCAGAACAAAUGCAAGGAUUAGUCCAUCAGGUCGUCCUCCUCCCCAGAAUGUGCCAUACUGUAUUGUAUAUUAUUAAUGUGUAUGCGUCUUAGCUUUAGGCCUUCUGCUGUGGCAGAGAGAGGCUAAAGAACUGGAUUUUUUUUAUUUUUUUUUCCUGAAAGUGAGACCCAGCAGGGAGGGAGUUUCAUAGCCCAUGGCCAGUUUCUGGAAAAAGCUCUGUCCCCCUUGUAUGAGACUGAUGCUUCUGAAGUGAAACUUAGCUCCUGAAGGAACUUUCAGAGGUGAUAUGUGGGGCAUUCAGAAACUAUAGCAGUGAGCACCAUAGGAACACCAACCAAGCUUCUCCAUCAAAGACAGUGUUUAUCUUGGUCAUUUCCUAUGAAGAGAUACACAAUGUGAAAUCAAGCCUGUGAAAUAAUUAAACAAGGAGGAGCAGUCACUUGGAAAUUUUUUACCUACAGGGAUUGAAGUAAAUUUAUAUGACCUGCAUGUUGCUUUAGGGUCGGAGGGAAACAAGCUAGACAGUUGAAAGCCUUACCCUAAAGGCCCACAAUGAAAUGAUGGGCCUAACAAGUCCUGUGGUCUUUUAUCUGCUUUGGGUUUUGAUGGACAGUAAGUACGGAUAUAUUUUGCCAGCAGGAAGGUGAGGUAUCCAAGCAGUCCAAGCAGUAGCAUGCUACCAAUAGAAAUGAUGAAUGGCAC